GACGAACGCUGGCGGCGUGCCUAAUACAUGCAAGUCGAGCGGACGGAUGGGAGCUUGCUCCCAGGCCGUCAGCGGCGGACGGGUGAGUAACACGUUGGCAACCUGCCUGUAAGACUGGGAUAACUCCGGGAAACCGGGGCUAAUACCGGAUAACUCUUUCCCUCACCUGAGGGAAAGCUGAAAGAUUGCAUCUCGCUAUCACUUACAGAUGGGCCCGCGGCGCAUUAGCUAGUUGGUGAGGUAACGGCUCACCAAGGCGACGAUGCGUAGCCGACCUGAGGGGGUGAUCGGCCACACUGGAACUGAGACACGGCCCAGACUCCUACGGGAGGCAGCAGUGGGGAAUCUUCGGCAAUGGACGAAAGUCUGACGGAGCAACGCCGCGUGAGUGAUGAAGGUUUUCGGAUCGUAAAACUCUGUUGUCAGGGAAGAACAAGUACCGGGGUAACUGCCGGUACCUUGACGGUACCUGACCAGAAAGCCACGGCUAACUACGUG
rnacentral:rRNA from 1 species